ensembl:snRNA U6 U6 spliceosomal RNA
GUGCUCCCUUCAGCAGCACAUAUACUAAAAUUGGAAUGAUACAGAGAAGAUUAGCAUGGCCCCUGCGCAAAGAUGACACAAAAAUUCAUGAAGCAUUCCGUAUUUUU